rnacentral:rRNA from 1 species
UGCCAGCCGCCGCGGUAAUACGGGGGGUCCAAGCGUUGUUCGGAAUCAUUGGGCGUAAAGCGCGUGUAGGCGGCUUGGCAAGUCGGAUGUGAAAGCCCGGGGCUCAACCCCGGAAUUGCAUUCGAAACUGCCAGGCUAGAGUCUCGGAGAGGAAGGCGGAAUUCCCGGUGUAGAGGUGAAAUUCGUAGAUAUCGGGAGGAACACCAGUGGCGAAGGCGGCCUUCUGGACGAUGACUGACGCUGAGACGCGAAAGCGUGGGGAGCAAACAGGAUUAGAUA